rnacentral:lncRNA from 1 species
UGUUGAUAUAAGACUUCACUGGAAAGUAAUUGUGGGUUGCACAGGUUGACCUUUGCAGGGUGCAGGUCUGACCAGCCGAGAAACAUGGGGCACCCAUUCAGUAGGAAACCCUGCAGACCAUCUCACUGAGCGUGCAAGUUCAGGAAUUUAUUUAAAAGGUUACUAUUAGUGGUUCAGUUGUCAAAGCUGGGGAUGUGGCAUUUUUACAUGGAGUGAAAUACAUGAUUUAAUUAUACUAAAAUGGAAAAGGAAAAAAAAAAAAAAAAUUAAGGACAGGCCUUCUGCACAAAUUGGAGGCAGUGAAAUGCUCUUUUGUGCCUGCAGCUCUAAGGAGGCUGUGAUGCAUGAGAAGGAAAGCGACUGACUUAACUCAUUGGGAUUCAGGGAACGACCUGCCCUCUUUUGGAAAAAAAAAAAAAAAAAAAUAGAAGAAGAAGGAGAAGGAGAAGAGUAAGUGUGCGUGUGUGUGUGUGCGUGUGCGUGCGUGUGCGUGCAUGUUCGUGUGAGAGAGUGGGAGAGGGGAGGGGGAGACACACACAGUGCUGCUUUCCUGAGCUGCCGCUUCCCAAGCAGAAACUAUCUGGAGAAACGCAGCGUCUUGGCUCUUUCCUGCAUUUACACAAUGAAACCACUGCUGUUUUUAUUCCUGCUAACGGGCUGCUUUUGUUUGCAUCCACUCCGAGGCAUGGACGAUGGGAACAAACAAGUGCUUAAAAUCAAAUAGACAAAAAAAAAAGAGAGAAAAAAUGCACAACUGCGCUGGGAUGCUGGGAUGAGGAUUACUCACUUUAGCUCUGACUGGACCCGGCCGGGUGGCACAAGGCUGGGAUUGUGCCGGAUUUCAAGGACACGGGAGAUGAUCGGGACUUUGGGAGCCAACAUCUGCCUGGCUGGUGACGUCAGCAGCCCCGUGUAAUCCUCUUGUACUGAAGGCAGAUGCCUUAUUUGUUUGGCUGGAGAGGCAUUAAUCCCUAAUUCUGGAGCAGCAAGCGAGGGGGAGAGACCGGACCGCUUCUUACCCCCCGACAGCCGCUCACAGGGCUCUCCUCCUCUCUGUGCUCUGCAGCUCCGGUUGGGCGUAGGACGAGCCAGCCCUCGGCAGGCGCCCGCACGCAGGAGCCGCGCUGCCGAGGGCGGGCCUGAGCCUUCUGCCCGCCUCGCCCCCGGAUGCCCCGGCAAGCGGCGGAACAGCCCCCGGGAAGCCCAGCUCGCCGCCGGAGCCCAGUGCAGCGCAACCUUCUCCCUCCCGGGCCCAGGCCCCCGGCAGCAGUCGAGGUCAGCCCGCACGGUUCGGGGGGUCCGGCCGGGUCGAUGCACCCGGCGCGCCGGCGGCACAGGGGCAGAACGGUCCCGUCUUGAGAGCUGAGAGACGGCUUCAACCGUAACGAUAAGAAUACAAAGCGAAGUCUGGUUUUUAAUUUUUUUUUUUUUAAUUAUUAUUAUUAUUCUAAUGAGUUCAUCCCUCAUUUCCUCGCUCGCACA